rnacentral:rRNA from 1 species
GGCUGAAACUCGCCUACAUGAAGCUGGAGUUACUAGUAAUCGCAGAUCAGAAUGCUGCGGUGAAUGCGUUCCCGGGUCUUGUACACACCGCCCGUCACACCACGGAAGUUGGGGCGCCCGAAGCCACUUAGCUAACCCUUUGGGAAGCGAGUGUCGAAGGUGAAAUCAAUAACUGGGGUGAAGUCGUAACAAGGUAGC